rnacentral:misc_RNA from 1 species
CCGAGUGCGGGUCCCUCGCGGCCCAACCUCCCACCCUUGUCUCUCUACACCCUGUUGCUUUGGCGGGCCCACCUGGGGCCACCUGGUCGCCGGGGGACGCACUGUCCCCGGGCCCGCGCCCGCCGAAGCGCUCUGUGAACCCUGAUGAAGAUGGGCUGUCUGAGUACCAUGAAAAUUGUCA